UGUGUGUCUGUCUGUCAGUGAAUGUGUGUGUGACACACACAUUCACUGACAGACAGACAGA
rnacentral:miRNA from 1 species